rnacentral:lncRNA from 1 species
AGAAGCCAGCACCACCACCUUCAUCAAUAUCACCAUGACUUUCAUCGUCAUCACCAUUACAACCACCAUCAUUAAUAUCACCAUCACCUUCACGUAACUACCUCCACAACCACCAUUCUCAAUAUCACCAUCACCUUCAUUACCACCACUACAACCACCAUCAAUAUCACCAUCACCUUCAUCAUCACCACCACCACAACCACCAUCAAUAUCACCAUCACCUUCAUCACCACCACCAUCAUCAUCAAUAUCACUAUCACUUUCAUCAUCACCACCAGCACCACAACCACCAUCAAUAUCACCAUUACCUUCAUCAUCACCAUCACCUUCAUCACCACAACCACCAUCUCACAAUCACUUUCAUCAUCACCACCACCAUAACCAUCGUCAAUAUCACCAUCACCUUCAUCAUCACCACAACCACCAUCAACCAUAUCACCAUCACUUUCAUCAUCACCACCACCACAACCACCAUCAAUACCACCUUCAUCAUCACCACCACCACAAAUCACCAUCAUAUCACCCUCACUUUCAUCAUUACCACAAUCACCAUCAAUAUCACCAUCCCCUUCACCAUCACUACCAACACAGCCACCAUCAUCAAUAUCACCCUCAACUUUAUUAUCACCUCCACCAUCAGCAGCAGCAUCAACUUCAUCAUCACCAUCACCACCUCUGCCAUCAGCAGCAUCAUUAUUAUCUUCAUCAUCAUGGUUUCAGCCACAAUCGGAAUCAACAGCCGUCACCCAGAGUUGAAGGAGGAAGUGGGCUGAGAGAAGCUCUGCCUUCAUAGUUCCUGGGAGGCAUGAACUGGUUGCUGCAUGCUGAGCAUUUCAAACUGGCACACGGUGUCACCCACUCAGAGAACACCCCUGACCUUCCCAAGGAAGCCCUCUGCACUCCGACGCCAUAUACCCGUGAUCUGCACAGGACUGUCACCAUCUGGAAUUGAUUGCCUCUCUUCCCGUUUUGCUAUUGUCAUUUGCACCCACAGGAAUGUCACCCACAUGAGUGUGGAAUUUCAUCUGUCUGUUCGCUGCUGGAUCCCUGCUCUAAGUAAGAAAAGGACCUGUGGCAGAGUGAGCUCUGGAUGAGGAUUUGCUGAGGAAUUGAAUGAGGGAAAGACUCAGAGAAUGGAAUGCUGAGAAUUCUACAAUAAAUAUUUGAAUCCUAGAGUGUUGGAGUCAGGAGAAGCCCUCGGAAGCCAUCUAGACAAACCCAUUCAUUUGCAAAGGGGUAAACUGAGGCUGAGGAGAAAAAAGUGACUUGCUCCACAUCCCAAGGCCUGAGGGUCUUCUCCCUGCUCUGAUGGGAGAGGGACCCCCUUUGUGCUGUUGUGGGUAAAAUGGUGAUGUGUGGCUGGAGGGUGAAGGGGCUUCUUCUGCCCUUUGACUCAUUGCCUAGGAAAAUAGGGACAAAAGGCGCAAAUUUUUUCAAAAUGCAAACAACUAAAGACAACGUCAUUCAGUAGAGACAAAGUGGGUGUUUGGGUUGACAGAGAAACAGAAAAGCUUCCCUGAGGUUGAGGAGGGAAGAGGGGGCUUGAAGGUGGGUGAGCCCCAAAUGUGACCUUCAACUCCUGGGAAGCUGUAGGCAAGGACAUAGCCAAGGCAAAACCAUCAAGAAUGUAAUUCACCAACAGAAACAUUCACUGACCACCCUCGGGGCCUGAAGGUCUUUCCAAAGCCUUGCUGCUGAGCACAUGAUGAACUUCAAACAAUAGCGAAGUCAGGAGCCAGGCGCUGAUGACCCCCAGGAGGAAGCUUGCAGAGGAUGAUGGGACAGAGGGGGAUGGGCAGGAGUCUAAGCAGGCGCUCAGGGAGGCCGCUUUCGUCAAGGAUGCUGAAAGAAUGGGGGUCUCAUGGAUUCUGGGAGAGAUGGUCCAAGGCAGAGGGACAGCCAGUGUGGGCCUGGAAAGAUGUGUGCCGCAUGUCUGAGGGGCAGGGGCCAAUGUGGCUGGAGGUAGAUGGGAGAGGAGGACACUAGGGGCUGAGGUCAGAGGGGACACAACUGGAUCUGUGCGAGACCUUGCAUGCCACUGAAAGGGCGCUGGCUGUCACUGUCGUGACCAGAGCCUCUGGGCAGGUCUUCACAGAGGUCAGGCUGACUGCACUUGCGGAUGGAUUGAAUAGCAGUAGUUAGAGGACAGCAUGCAUGGCUCAGGGAGGAUUCCCAGGAUUUGGGAUGCACAGCUGGAAGAAGGGAGGAGCUCCUGAAUGAGGAGUGGGAGGUCCGGGAAGGGCAGCCUUGGUGGGGAGAGACGCCGGGACCUGCAGAGAAACUCCCUGAAAAGAACAGGGCUGAGCCAUCUUUACCCCAGGCUCAGGACCUUCCUUCGCUGUAACUGCCAGGACAAUCCACUGUGCUGUCACUCAGAGAGCGAAACCAGCCUGACUUUGCACCUGUGUCUCCAAGGGAUAAAGGUCAAUGUCACAGCAGACUCCACUCUGAUGCUGUCUUCAAGCCAAAACCUUAAUAUUCAAUGAGAAAUCUGCAUUGAUGAAAUUUUCAUUAAACAAACUUUAUCCCUCUCACUCCUCUUGUUAUUCGUGGCUUUAAGUAUCAGGCUAAUUUAGGCUUGAUGCCCCAGUGAUCUGCAGAUUGGAGCAUUAUUAAACAUUUAGAUGAGCAAUGAUGAGCCUGAGCCUCCCUCUCCUCUCUCAGCUGGAGCACAGGGGGCUCUGCUAAUGAUCACAAUGGAUUUGGGGCAGACACAGCAAUUAGAGAAUUAUCUAUAGUUUGAGCAAGAUUUGAC